GCUUCAUAUGUUCUAUGCAAACUCCAUGAGCGUCCAGCUUUAAAAACAUCAGACUGUCAGCAAAGUUCACAGCACAUCAGUUUCACCUCAAACCAUGUUGUCUGUAGCUCUACUGCUGCUCUUUGCAGCUGCAUCCUGUGUGAAGUGUGAACAGUUGACUCAGCCAGAAUCUGUGACUGUGCAGCCAGGUCAACGUCUCUCCAUCACCUGUCAGGUCUCUUAUUCUUUGAGCAGCUACUACACAGCUUGGAUCAGACAACCUGCAGGGAAAGGACUGGAAUGGAUUGGAAUGAUAGUUGGAUCUACAACACACUACAAAGAUUCACUCAAAAGCAAAUUCAGCCUUUCCACAGACUCUUCCAGCAAAACAGUGACUCUGAAUGGACAGAAUAUGCAGCCUGAAGACUCUGCUGUGUAUUACUGUGCCAGAGACACACAGUGACACAAAUGAUCAGUAGACCUGAACAAAAACCCCUCAGAGCCUGAACACUGUAACAUGAAGCCACCAGAGGAGGAGCCCUCAGACCAGGAAUGAUUUUAAGAACAGAACACUGCUAUUCUUGUCAUUUUAAUUGAAUUGACACAGCAACUCUUUCUUCAGCAGUGGAUACAGAAUGAUCCAGUUCUUAUUACACUUUUGGUUUAUUAUAUUUGUGGAGGAAGGAGUCCAGGUCCUGCAUCCUUUCAGGUUGGUAAAUGGGCCUGUUGUUGUUCCUGCAUCCAAACUGUGGA